rnacentral:tRNA from 1 species
GCUCUCGUGGUGGAACGGCAGACACAUACGCUUCAGGUGCGUACGCUCGCAAGGGCAUGGAGGUUCGAAUCCUCUCGAGAGCA